UGUGUUGUGACAGAGCAUUUAGUGCUCUGGGGCUAAAAGCUGCCUGCUUUUCCUGCUGUCUCCCAGGGCUGGUGAUUUUAUCACUUCUGCUCCUAGCAUCCUUCUUUUCUUCCCAUAUAUCAGCUGCCCCUUGCCCCCUCCUCUAAAUUUAUCCAGUUGAUCAACAUAAUUCAGUAAAAUUUAGUAAUUGUUUUCAACUUUUACUUCCCUUUGAAGUUAGCUAGAAGACAUGUCGGGAAGCUGCUCGGAUUCUCCCACAACGUAAUCUAGAAAUUAUAAAAACUACUACUGAAGAUACUGUCUCUCCUUAUGGAGUUGCCUUCUUUGUGUCUGCACCUGUCAAGAUCCCACUCUGGAACAGAAGAUCAGAGCAAAUGGGGGCUGAGGAGAACAAAAGCUGCCCCAAACCUUUGACCUAAAUUUAACAUAAAGCCAAAUGAAACCUUAGAGGUUUGUAGAUGUUCAUAAAACAUUUCCACCUCCUGGUCCCCUUUCCUUUAUCUUUGGUUUCUUUAUACUUCUACAUUUAACUGUUUCUAAUUGAAAGUCUAA
rnacentral:lncRNA from 1 species